GCCGGUGUAGCUCAGUUGGUAGAGCAGCUGAUUUGUAAUCAGCAGGUCGGGGGUUCGAGUCCCUUCACCGGCUCCA
rnacentral:tRNA from 1 species